AACGCACAUUGCGCCCCUUGGUAUUCCGGGGGGCAUGCCUGUUCGAGCGUCAUUACAACCCUCAAGCUCUGCUUGGUAUUGGGCCUCCCCGGGAACGGGGUGCCCUAAAAUCAGUGGCGGUGCCGUCUGGCUCUAAGCGUAGUAAAUCUCUCGCUCUGGAGACCCGGUGGAUGCUUGCCAGUAACCCCCAAUUUUUUUAAGGUUGACCUCGGAUCAGGUAGGGAUACCCGCUGAACUUAA
rnacentral:misc_RNA from 1 species